rnacentral:lncRNA from 1 species
GGACAUUCCAAGAUUAUUAGAACCCCAUUUCAUAUUUCAAAGAAUUUACAAUUUAGUCAUUUAUAUGUUCUAGUGAUAGAAAUUGGUAAAGAAUUCUCUAUUAUUUUUUGGUUAUAUAUUUUUCAGACUUUGUGCUAAUUUGAUCAUUGUAAUGAAGUGUUUUCAUAUAUCAGGUUUGCAACAUUUGUGUGCUGCAAAAUGUGA